GCCGGGAUAUUCUGAACAGGGUGUAUAUAAUCCUCCAUAUAGCAACAUUUCCCCUCGUUUAAAUAUGCAUUAUGGUAAAAAGGCACCUGUUGCAGCUGAUUCUGCUGUGAGGAAUCACCCUUUUCAUGGAUCAUUGUCACAACACAGUGGUGAUUUGACAGAAAUGGAGAUGUUUGAUAGAGAAGUUAACAUGGAUCUGGAAUUGCUUCAAGUCAGUUUCCCUGGACUAUCUGAACAGUCCCUUACUGAUGUCUAUUUUGCUAACAAGGGUGAUUUGGAUGCUGCUAUAGACAUGCUGAGCCAGCUUGAGAACAAACAUCCACCUGAUGUCGAAUAUGACCCUGAAAGUCUCCCAGAUACUUUGGACAUCGGUGAUAUCUCCGAAUCCGGGUUUGUAGCUGUCGAUCAACCCUCUUUCAGAAUGAAGAAUGUAGCCAAUGAUGCAAGUACUUCAU
rnacentral:misc_RNA from 1 species